rnacentral:rRNA from 1 species
UACGUAGGUGACAAGCGUUAUCCGGAUUUAUUGGGCGUAAAGCGCACGCAGGCGGCUGAUUAAGUCUGACGUGAAAUCUCCCGGCUUAACCGGGAGCGGUCGUUGGAAACUAAUCGGCUCGAGGCGAUGAGAGGGGUGUGGAAUUCCCGGUGUAGUGGUGGAAUGCGUAGAUAUCGGGGGGAACAUCAGUGGCGAAAGCGGCACGCUGGCAUGUGCCUGACGCUCAGGUGCGAAAGCGUGGGGAGCGAACGGG